rnacentral:misc_RNA from 1 species
GUAGGUGAACCUGCGGAAGGAUCAUUAUUGAAUUUUGUUGCAUAUAUUUAUUUAUUGCAAUACAAACAACUUGGACACCCAAAAAGAGUUUUUAUGUUUCUUUAUGUUUGUUUGAUUGGCUUUUUUGGGAAGUUACUUUUAUUGGUAGCUGAGCUUUUUAGCUGAUCGUCAAAUAUAUAAGAAUAAGAAUAAAAAAAAAAAGUAAAUUGCCUGAUAAAAAAAGUUUUGGUGUUGGGAAUAUGAAAUUGAA